UCUCAGUUCCAGGUUUCUGUGCGAAUCAGC
rnacentral:piRNA from 1 species